rnacentral:rRNA from 1 species
AUUGAACGCUGGCGGCAGGCCUAACACAUGCAAGUCGAGCGGAUGAAGGGAGCUUGCUCCUGGAUUCAGCGGCGGACGGGCGAGUAAUGCAUACGAAUCUGCCUGGUAGUGGGGGAUAACGUCCGGAAACGGGCGCUAAUACCGCAUACGUCCAGAGGGAGAAAGUGGGGGAUCUUCGGACCUCACGCUAUCAGAUGAGCCUAGGUCGGAUUAGCUAGUUGGUUGGGUAAAGGCCUACCAAGGCGACGAUCCGUAACUGGUCUGAGAGGAUGAUCAGUCACACUGGAACUGAGACACGGUCCAGACUCCUACGGGAGGCAGCAGUGGGGAAUAUUGGACAAUGGGCGAAAGCCUGAUCCAGCCACGCCGCGUGAGUGAAGAAGGUCUUCGGAUUGUAAAGCACUGUAAGUUGGGAGGAAGGGAAGUAAGUUAAUACAUUGCUGUUUUGACGUUACCAACAGAAUAAGCACCGGCUAACUUCGUG